GUCUGUGGCCACACCACCCUGAGCGCGCCCGAUCUCGUCUGGUUUCGGAAGCUAAGCAGGGUCGGGCCUGGUUCGUACUCGGAUGGGAGGCCGCCUGGGAAUACCGGGUGCUGGAGGCU
rnacentral:rRNA from 1 species